GUUCUCCUCAAAUCACUUCA
rnacentral:miRNA from 1 species